GAUGAACGCUGGCGGCGUGCCUAAUACAUGCAAGUCGAGCGAACAGACGAGAAGCUUGCUCCUCUGACGUUAGCGGCGGACGGGUGAGUAACACGUGGAUAACCUACCUAUAAGACUGGGAUAACUUCGGGAAACCGUAGCUAAUACCGGAUAAUAUAUUGAACCGCAUGGUUCAAUAGUGAAAGACGGUUUUGCUGUCACUUAUAGAUGGAUCCGCGCCGCAUUAGCUAGUUGGUAAGGUAACGGCUUACCAAGGCAACGAUGCGUAGCCGACCUGAGAGGGUGAUCGGCCACACUGGAACUGAGACACGGUCCAGACUCCUACGGGAGGCAGCAGUAGGGAAUCUUCCGCAAUGGGCGAAAGCCUGACGGAGCAACGCCGCGUGAGUGAUGAAGGUCUUCGGAUCGUAAAACUCUGUUAUUAGGGAAGAACAUAUGUGUAAGUAACUAUGCACGUCUUGACGGUACCUAAUCAGAAAGCCACGGCUAACUACGUG
rnacentral:rRNA from 1 species